rnacentral:misc_RNA from 1 species
GAUGAAGAACGUAGCGAAAUGCGAUAAGUAAUGCGAAUUGCAGAAUUCCAGUGAGUCAUCGAAUCUUUGAACGCACAUUGCGCCCUUUGGUAUUCCGAAGGGCAUGCCUGUUCGAGCGUCAUUAUCACCCCUCAAGCCCUCGGCUUGGUGUUGGACGGUUUGGUGGAGGCCCCCUCGGGGGCUCCUGCCCCUCCCAAAGACAAUGACGGCGGCCUCGUUGGACCCCCGGUACACUGAGUUCUUCACGGGACACGUAUCGGACACAUGGGUUUACGGGACACGGUCUGCCUCCCCUCAGGGAGAAUCUUUCUAAGGUUGACCUCGGAUCAGGUAGGGAUACCCGCUGAACUUAAGCAUAUCAAUAAGGGAGGA